rnacentral:rRNA from 1 species
UACGAAGGGGGCGAGCGUUGUUCGGAAUUACUGGGCGUAAAGGGCGCGCAGGCGGCCGACCAAGUCAGGCGUGAAAGCCCCGGGCUCAACCUGGGAACUGCGUUUGGGACUGGUUGGCUAGAGAUCGGGAGAGGAGAGUGGAAUUCCCAGUGUAGAGGUGAAAUUCGUAGAUAUUCGGAGGAACACCAGUGGCGAAGGCGGCUCACUGGCUCGGUACUGACGCUGAGGUGCGAAAGCGUGGGGAGCAAACAGG